rnacentral:rRNA from 1 species
GACGAACGCUGGCGGCGUGCUUAACACAUGCAAGUCGAACGGUAAGGCCCUUCGGGGUACACGAGUGGCGAACGGGUGAGUAACACGUGGGUAAUCUGCCCUGCACAUCGGGAUAAGCCUGGGAAACUGGGUCUAAUACCGAAUAGGACCACAGGACACAUGUCCUGUGGUGGAAAGCUUUUGCGGUGUGGGAUGGGCCCGCGGCCUAUCAGCUUGUUGGUGGGGUGAUGGCCUACCAAGGCGACGACGGGUAGCCGGCCUGAGAGGGUGUCCGGCCACACUGGGACUGAGAUACGGCCCAGACUCCUACGGGAGGCAGCAGUGGGGAAUAUUGCUCAAUGGGCGAAAGCCUGAUGCAGCGACGCCGCGUGGGGGAUGACGGCCUUCGGGUUGUAGACCUCUUUCACCAUCGACGAAGGUCCGGGUUUUCUCGGGCUGACGGUAGGUGGAGAAGAAGCACCGGCCAACUACGUG